GAGCAUUGAAGUCCCCCAGGAGAGAGAGGGAGUCCCCAGAGGGAGCGCUCUCCAGCACCCUCUCUAAAGACUCCAAAAAGGGUGGGUACUCCGAACUGCCGUUCGGUGCAUAAGCACAGACGACAGUCAGGACCCGUCCCCCCACCCGAAGGCAAAGGAAGGCUACCCUCUCGUCCACCGGGUUAAACCCCAACGUACAGGCGCUGAGCCAGGGGGUAAUAAGCAGGGACAUUUUCUUUAAGAACGUCUUCUGUCUUGUUUCAUUUAAUUCAGAGAGCCAUGUCUCUCUACACUGAGAGGUUUUUGUACGGCCACUCAAUGACUUUGUAUCAUGUGUGGGACGUUUGGUGGAGGAACCAGACUGCAUGUUGGAAGUGAUACCGCCCCCACCCUGACGGUGCUGCCCCCCUCCAUCCAGUGAGCAGCUGCAGCAGGGGAAGGCCACGCUCAGUGUCUGGCCACAAGGCUUCCCCUCAACUGGAGUCUGGCCUGGAAGGUGACAGCAGCAGCAGCAUCAGCUGGGAGGAGAGCAGGAGCCCCGUGGUGCUGGAGAAGGACGGCCUCUACAGCUGGAGAGCACCCUGAGGCUCGAUGCAGACCAGUGGAGGAAGGUGGACUCUGUGACCUGUGAGGA